UACGUAGGGAGCGAGCGUUAUCCGGAUUUAUUGGGUGUAAAGCGUGUGUAGGCGGUAAAUUAAGUCUAAGGUUUAAGCCCGGAGCUCAACUCCGGUUCGCCUUAGAAACUGAUUUUCUUGAGUAUGGUAGAGGCAAGUGGAAUUUCUAGUGUAGCGGUAAAAUGCGUAGAUAUUAGAAGGAACACCAGUGGCGAAGGCGACUUGCUGGGCCAAAACUGACGCUGAGACACGAAAGCGUGGGGAGCAAAUAG
rnacentral:rRNA from 1 species